CCUACGGGGGGCAGCAGUGGGGAAUAUUGCGCAAUGGGCGAAAGCCUGACGCAGCGACGCCGCGUGAGGGAUGAAGGUCUUCGGAUCGUAAACCUCUGUCAGCAGGGAAGAACGGUCACUGUGCUAAUCAGCAGUGAAUUGACGGUACCUGCAAAGGAAGCACCGGCUAACUCCGUGCCAGCAGCCGCGGUAAUACGGAGGGUGCGAGCGUUAAUCGGAAUUACUGGGCGUAAAGCGCUCGUAGGCGGUAUGUCAAGUCAAGGGUGAAAUCCCCUCGCUCAACGUGGGAACUGCCUUUGAAACUGGCAAACUGGAGUGUGUGAGAGGAUAGUGGAAUUCCAGGUGUAGGAGUGAAAGCCGUAGAUAUCUGGAGGAACAUCAGUGGCGAAGGCGACUAUCUGGCACAUAACUGACGCUGAGGAGCGAAAGCGUGGGUAGCAAACAGGAUUAGAUACCCCAGUAGUC
rnacentral:rRNA from 1 species